UUUUGAAUAUAUCAUACCACACUCCUCUGGCCUAGUAAAUUUCUACUGAAAAAUCAGCUGAUAUCUUGUAGGGGUUUCUAUUGAUAGCUAUAUAGGGUUUCUCUUAUCUGUUUUCUAUUCUCUUGCUGCUUUUAAAAUUCUCUAUCACUACCUUUUGUCAUUUUAAGUUCUAUUUGUCUUUGUGUGAAUUUUGUUGGGAGUUCUCUGUGCUUCCUGGAUCUGGACUUCUAUUUCUAUCAUCAGAUAUAGGAAGUUUUUAGCUAAUAUUUCUUCAAAUAGAUCUUCUGCCCCUUUUCUCCCUCUUCUUCUAGAAUCUCUAUAAUGUGAAUGUUAUUACAAUUGGUGUCACUGAGUUCCCUUAGACUACUUUUUCUUUUUUUCUGUCUCCUGUUCCACUGAUAUCUUUCUUUAUUCUGUUCUCCAGGUCACUGAUGCACUCUUCUGCUUCCUCUAGCUUACUGUUGAUUCCAUCAAGCAUAUUUUUAAUUUCAGUUAUUGAGUUCUUCAUCUCUGAUUGGUUCAUUUUUUUAUGUUUUCUAUCUCUAAGGGUUCUACUGAAGUCCUCCAUUCUUUGUUCAAGUCCAGUGAGUAUCUUUAUGAUUACUUUAAAUUCUCUAUCAGUUAUAUUACUUAUAUCUGUUUCACUUAAGUCUCUUGCUGUGGUUUUGUCAUUUUCUUUCAUUUAGGACAUUGUCCUGUCUCAUUUUGUCUCUCUGCAUCUGUUUCUAUGUGUUAGAAAAGUCAACCAUAUCUCCUGCUCUUGAAAGUAGUGUCCUUAUGAAGAAGAGGUCCUGUUGUGCCUUGCUGUGCAAUGUCCCCUGUUCACCAGAACCUGGCAUUUCAGGGGUGUCUCCUAUGUGGGUUGCAUGUACCCUACUACUGUAGUUGAGCCAUGUUUGCCUUUAAUCUAGUCAUCUGCAAUAGCUCUCUUUGCCUGUUGUGGACAGGGUUUGGUCCCUGUGUUGUUAAUGGGCCAGUCUGGAGCCUCCCUGGGCUUGAGCUGAAUCAACGUCAGCAAAGAUACAGUUGCAGGAACUUGCAGGGUGCAUUCCCUCUGCUGUCCCUUGAGAAGAUUUUAUUGGUGGGCAGGGCUUGCAGUCACACCAGAUGUCUGAUGCCAGCCCACUGCUGAUGCCACCACGGUUUACUGGUGUGUGUGGUUAUCUUCCCCUCUCCCCAGGGCAGGAGUCACUCUGGAUUUAUGCUGACCCUAUCAGAGCUGCUAGCACUUUGGAUGAAUUCAGGCCAAGGACAUAUUACAUGGAGCAUGUCUAGAGGAGAACAUGGGGGAGGGUCAAGGGGGUAGCUGUUAAAAAGCUGGGUCAAGAGUAUUCAUGUUUUGCUGCUUCUAGCAGGUACCAAUGUAUCUAGGCUGGGUGGCCAGGAGGGGAAAUGGCACUCACUAGCUCUUUUGUUUUUGGAGAAGUCCCCCAAAGAUUCCUGCCCUUCAGCACAUACUCAGAUCUGUAAAUAAAUCUCCUUCCAGUAUACCCCCGGACGUUUUUCAAAUUGUUGCUUCUAUGCUAUAUCUCUGCAGGCUGUUUGUUGUGCUGUCUCUUUGGGGUGAGGUC
rnacentral:lncRNA from 1 species